AGUGAACGCUGGCGGUAGGCCUAACACAUGCAAGUCGAACGGCAGCACAGUAAGAGCUUGCUCUUACGGGUGGCGAGUGGCGGACGGGUGAGGAAUACAUCGGAAUCUACUUUUUCGUGGGGGAUAACGUAGGGAAACUUACGCUAAUACCGCAUACGACCUACGGGUGAAAGCAGGGGAUCUUCGGACCUUGCGCGAUUGAAUGAGCCGAUGUCGGAUUAGCUAGUUGGCGGGGUAAAGGCCCACCAAGGCGACGAUCCGUAGCUGGUCUGAGAGGAUGAUCGGCCAAACUGGAACUGGAACACGGUCCGGACCCCACCGGGAGGCAGCGUUGGGAAUAUUGGACAAUGGGCGCAAGCCUGAUCCAGCCAUACCGCGUGGGUGAAGAAGGCCUUCGGGUUGUAAAGCCCUUUUGUUGGGAAAGAAAAGCAGCAGGUUAAUACCCCGCUGUUCUGACGGUACCCAAAGAAUAAGCACCGGCUAACUUCGUG
rnacentral:rRNA from 1 species